AUGUUGACAAAUGAAAAUAAUUGGACACUCCCUGCAGCUCCUGAGCCAAUUUCUGAGCCUAUUCCUAAACCAACUCCAAAGAAAAGAGGUGUUCUAUUUCUCAGUCCUGAAGAUAUGCAAGAGGCGAAGAAAUCUAUGAAAGAAAAAGGUAUAAAAGCUGAAGAUGUUAAGAAUUUACCUCCUAUUGAAGAAAUACAUGGUCUUAAUCUACCGCCUGUUGAAGAAACAUAUGAUCUUAAUCCAUUACCUAUUGAAGAAACUCAUGGUCUUGAUAACCCGACACAGGUAGUAAAGGUAAAUUCUCUCUAUAGAUUUGAUGAAGGCGAUAUUCCUCACUAUAAGUCUGCUAGACAAUGCUUAGAAGACUUUGAUAAUUUUAUUGUCAAACAAGAAAACUUCAAUGCUUAUUUUGGUAGACAAUUGAAAUACAAUUCAGAUACGCUUGAAUAUUUGGGUGAUUAUAUGUCUAGAGUUAAAGGUGAACUUAAACUCAUUACUAAACAUGCUUCUAUGGUUACCACUCAAGUAGAACAAGUACUUAAAGCUCAAAAUGAUUUGCUCAAUGAAAUGAAUAGUAAGAAAAAUGAUUAUUCUGUUAGAGUGGCUACUAGAACUGGUAGAAUGACUCAGGAACCUUUGUAUCCUGAAGGCCACCCUAAGAGAAUUGAGCAAGAUUCUCAAAGAAAUAAUAUUGAUGCACCUAGUCCUUCUAAAAAGAAGAAAAAGAAAAAUGAUAGGACUUUGCAUGCUUCUAGUGAACCUAUUGCUGAACCACCUGCGAAUCCAGAGAUUACCUGGAUAGUUGUGCUGGUUCUGUUUUCAGGGAAAGAACGCCGAAUGAAGCUGAAAUUCUAUUGA
rnacentral:rRNA from 1 species